ACUUAAAUUGAAGAGUUUGAUCAUGGCUCAGAUUGAACGCUGGCGGCAGGCCUAACACAUGCAAGUCGAACGGUAGCACAGAGAGCUUGCUCUCGGGUGACGAGUGGCGGACGGGUGAGUAAUGUCUGGGAAACUGCCCGAUGGAGGGGGAUAACUACUGGAAACGGUAGCUAAUACCGCAUAACGUCGCAAGACCAAAGUGGGGGACCUUCGGGCCUCACACCAUCGGAUGUGCCCAGAUGGGAUUAGCUAGUAGGUGGGGUAACGGCUCACCUAGGCGACGAUCCCUAGCUGGUCUGAGAGGAUGACCAGCCACACUGGAACUGAGACACGGUCCAGACUCCUACGGGAGGCAGCAGUGGGGAAUAUUGCACAAUGGGCGCAAGCCUGAUGCAGCCAUGCCGCGUGUAUGAAGAAGGCCUUCGGGUUGUAAAGUACUUUCAGCGGGGAGGAAGGUGUUGUGGUUAAUAACCGCAGCAAUUGACGUUACCCGCAGAAGAAGCACCGGCUAACUCCGUGCCAGCAGCCGCGGUAAUACGGAGGGUGCAAGCGUUAAUCGGAAUUACUGGGCGUAAAGCGCACGCAGGCGGUUUGUUAAGUCAGAUGUGAAAUCCCCGGGCUCAACCUGGGAACUGCAUUUGAAACUGGCAAGCUUGAGUCUCGUAGAGGGGGGUAGAAUUCC
rnacentral:rRNA from 1 species